rnacentral:rRNA from 1 species
GAGUUUGAUCCUGGUUCAGGACGAACGCUGGCGGCGUGCUUAACACAUGCAAGUCGGACGGUGCUCAUGGAAUAGCUUGCUAUGAAAUGGGCACAGUGGCGGACGGGUGAGUAACGCGUGAGGAUCUGUCUUGGGGAGGGGGACAACGUCUGGAAACGGACGCUAAUACCCCAUAUGCCGGAAGGUGAAAGGGAGCGAUCCGCCCCAGGAGGAACUCGCGUCCUAUCAGCUUGUUGGUGAGGUAACGGCUCACCAAGGCGAUGACGGGUAGCUGGUUUGAGAGGACGACCAGCCACACUGGAACUGAGAGACGGUCCAGACUCCUACGGGAGGCAGCAGUGGGGAAUAUUGGGCAAUGGGGGGAACCCUGACCCAGCGACGCCGCGUGUGGGAAGAAGUCUUUCGGGACGUAAACCACUGUUGUGCGGGAAGAAGGAAGUGACGGUACCGCACGAGUAAGGCCCGGCAAACUACGUGCCAGCAGCCGCGGUAAUACGUAGGGGCCGAGCGUUGUCCGGAAUUACUGGGCGUAAAGCGCACGUAGGCGGUUAUUUAAGUCGGCUGUGA